rnacentral:rRNA from 1 species
CGCGCAGGCGGCCAGGUAAGUCGAAUGUGAAAGCCCCCGGCUCAACUGGGGAGGGUCAUUCGAUACUGCUUGGCUUGAAGGUAGGAGAGGGAAGCGUAAUUUCAGGUGUAGUGGUGAAAUGCGUAGAUAUCUGAAGGAACACCAGUGGCGAAGGCGGCUUUCUGGCCUAUUCUUGACGCUGAGGCGCGAAAGCUAGGGGAGCGAACG